rnacentral:lncRNA from 1 species
UUCUUCUCGAUAAAGUGAAGCGAGCAGAAAUGUAACGAGAUUACCCACCCUCUCCAUCUGCCUUUGUCUAAAUAAAUUCAAAGUUUGCAAAAUGUAAUGAAUUUUCAGCUUGUAAUUUGCUGUCUUUAGUGUGUGCGGCAGUCAGAAGACCAAAGACACCCCCUUUAAAGUUCAUCUGUACCAGCCCCAGGCCCGGGACCGCCAUUAAACACCGGGGGGUUGCAGAGAUCAGUGUGAGGGUUCCAAGUCAUGCCCCUGUCGGCGUGCGUGGGAAGCCCUUCCAACAGCCUGCCUGGAGCUGGCAUGGCCCAGGGUGGUAGACAGGCACAACGGUCUGGAUUUGGGAGUCAGUGCGCAAGAGGAAGACGAAUCCCUGGAAUCCUCCUGUCUCACUCACCCUCCACUUACCUCUGUCUUCAUUUCUUCCCUGUCACCAGGUCUCUCUCCCACUUCUCCAAAUGCUGCUGCUUGAUAGAACGCACUUAUUUCUCAAUGCUUGCUUUGGGUUUUAGAAGACAUGGGGACCUCCCUCCUCCUGUUGUCCCGCGUUUGGUGAGUUCACCCCGCAGUAGUGACAGGACUGCAGCAUGAGAUCUUCUGGGUUUGCCCAACAGGCACUGUCCCUCCACAGUUACUGUCAGUUCCUCUUUCCUUCCCGUAACCGCUGUAGACCAGGGUCCUGUAGACAGGCACUGAGGACUCAAUGGUAAGGAAGUACAUUCAGUCCUCCGUGAACCAGGAAUACAUGUUGAAUAGAAGUCACCAAAUAAAUGAUUGUUUCUAUUUUAAUGAUCA